AGCAGGCGGGGCCAUUAUCUCCUGUUUUCUGAUUCCUUUCUCCUUUGGCUGGGUGAUGAACUUUGAACCUCCCUUCAGCCAAUACCUGCAUGGUUAUACCGGGACAAAACCAGCAGCAUGGAAGGCUGCAGCCAUUUUACUGCAGGAGUGUGCAAUCAAAGGGAAGGAGCAAAACUCACAGUUAUAGAAACUGUUAUGGGUUAGAGAAGAGAUGAAAAAGGGCAGUUAAAGUGAGGAGAGAGCAAUUCGGAUCAGGGAGAAUAUGGAGCAACGGAAUAGACUACGACAAUCACAUUAUCCAACAAAAUGGCACAAGAGGAAAAUAGAACACAUCACAGAAGUGCACGUAUCCGAGCCUACAGAGAGAGGCAGAACUCUGAUUACAAAAUUCUAUUCCUGCCGCAAAACAUCCAGCAGCAGAGAUCUCCUGCUUUAGGGCCUACUUUCUUAAGAAGCACAGAAAACAAAAUUGUAGUUAUUUUGUUCAUAGCCAUUGGGCUAAUAUGCACUGCAAUAUGGCAGAAAAACAAUUCUCAAGCAUUUACUGACAACCAGUAAUCUAACCAACUGCGAGGAGGCGCUGGAGCUAAUAAGCAAGUUGGCAAUGGAUACAAUGAAUGACAUUCAGAGGCAACAUCAGGACAUUAAACUUGCUGUGGUUCUGUGUGAACCUGCAUUUAAAGACUGACCAGUCAGGCACAACUUUUUUUUUUUUUGUAACUUAUAUUUCUUAUUGAAAUUAAAAGUGUUGAUCAUACAGCAAAUGGAAUUAGAAAAUAAACACAUAUGUUGCAACAUGAAAUUUCAGUUUUCGCUGAACAAUUAUUAUAUUUGCUGUGAAGGACGUGCAUAAGGAUGUGGCUCAUUUAAAGGAAGAAUUCGCUAAUAUAAAAGCAGAGGUAUCAAAGGGUUCAAUCAAUCCUUUCAGCUUAGCCAAUAUAACUAAGAGGGUUUUUUUUAAUUUAGACAGUUUUAUGUAAGUAUUUCUAGGCAUUAGAGCCUGUAUGUUUCAGGACUGACCAGUCACACAUAAUUUUUAUUACUUUCUUUUGUUGUUCAAUGUUGAAAAAUAAAUAUUUUUUUGGUUAAAACUU